AUGGUUCUUUAUGGAUCCUCUUAUGCAUUAUGUUCGGUAUCAAGGAAAGGCAAUUCUUGCAUCAAAAUGCACUUUUUUUUGAAGAAGAAAUGGAAAUGCUACCUUAUCAAUUUCUGGCAAUAUUAUUUUUGUUUUUGGACUCAACCGCGAAGAAUCCAUAUAAACCAAUUAGCAAACUCUUGCUUCGAUUUUAUGGGGUACCUUUCAAGUGUACCAAAAAGUUCUUUGUUAGUAAGGAAUCAAAUGCUGGAGAAUUCAUUUCUAAUAGAUACUCGAAUGAAAAAAAUUCGAUACCAUAGUCCCCGCUACUCUCCUCAUAGGAUACUUAUCAAAAGCUCAAUUUUGUACUGGAUCGGGGCAUCCUAUUAG
rnacentral:rRNA from 1 species